rnacentral:lncRNA from 1 species
UAUGAUCGCCGGAAAGGUUGCUGUUGUUUUGGGAUAUGGUGAUGUUGGAAAGGGAUGUGCUGCUGCCAUGAAGCAGGCUGGAGCUCGCGUCAUUGUGACCGAGAUUGAUCCCAUCUGUGCCCUUCAGGCUCUUAUGGAAGGUCUCCAGGUGUUGACCCUUGAGGAUUGCGUUGCGGAGGCUGACAUCUUCGUCACCACCACUGGAAACAAGGACAUCAUCAUGGUUGACGACAUGAGGAAGAUGAAGAACAACGCCAUUGUUUGCAACAUCGGUCACUUUGACAAUGAGAUUGACAUGAAUGGACUUGAGACCUUCCCUGGAGUGAAGCGCAUCACCAUCAAGCACCAGACCGACCGGGGGGUGUUCCCAGACACCAAGAGCGGCAUCAUUGUGUUGGCAGAGGGACGUCUCAUGAAUUUGGGAUGUGCAACUGG